CAGUAGCCACGGGAAUACGUAGGGUCCGAGCGUUGUCCGGAAUUAUUGGGCGUAAAGGGCUCGUAGGCGGUUUGUUGCGUCGGGAGUGAAAACCCAGGGCUUAACUUUGGGCUUGCUUUCGAUACGGGCAGACUUGAGGCAUUGAGGGGAGAACGGAAUUCCUGGUGUAGCGGUGAAAUGCGCAGAUAUCAGGAGGAACACCGGUGGCGAAGGCGGUUCUCUGGCAAUGUUCUGACGCUGAGGAGCGAAAGUGUGGGGAGCGAACAGGAUUAGAGACCCCCGUAGUCCCUGUCUCUUAUAU
rnacentral:rRNA from 1 species